GAGAGAGAGAAAGGAAGUCACCAAACUUGGUCGGUCAGUUCACUCACCAAGCAGAGAGGAACCAUCAUUUUAGGUUCAUCAUAAAGUAGAAAGCUCAGGGAUCCAAUUAUCUAUCUGCCUCUUUACUCCUGUUUCUUCCCAAUCAGUCCAGGUCCUUAGUUACAGUUGCCAUCACAGUUGCUACCCAGAAUCACUAGAAACUUCUUAACUAGGCUUGUCUUACCCCACUCACCCCUCUGUAUUGUGGCAAAGUGGCUCCAGCGCUAACUUGAGCUUGCUUGCCUGUUUGGAAGCUCUCAGUGGGCUCCUCAUAGCUCUUGGAUGAAGUCUGCAGCCUUAAACGCCUGGCCUGGGCUCGGGGGAUAUGGCUCACUGAGUAAAAGCAUUUGCUGUGUCGGCCGUGAUCUUGGAACCCACAUAACCCACGUAAAUGCAGGAGGAGGUAAUCGACUCUACAAAGUCACUUAUCUGACAUCCACAUGUGUGCUAUGGCAUGCAUGCCCACACAUAUAAAUCAUGAGUAUGUGCGUGCCCACCAGAGACACACGGACACAGGUUUUAAAGGCUGUGCCUGAGCUGCCUUGCCUUGUGGCUUACUCUCUCUUCCUAAUACUCCCGCCCCCGCACUUUGUGUCCAAAAAUAACAACCUGCUCUACUUCCCUAAACACACUCUUGGCAUCUGCAGACUGGUCCUGUAUUUCCCUAAUCACAGUGUUUUCCCACUGUGGCGAAUCUGUCUGCUGUCUUCCCUACCCAGCCCUCAGGCCACCUGUCCCCCACUGUCCUGUCAGUGACCGCUGGACAUGGGGUACCCAGGAUUUACUGACAACCAGAGGACUAGCAGAUGACUCCUAAGACAACAGAGUGUACACCAAAAACCCUGGCAAUGGUUGCUCUGGAAAAGACACAGAGAGAGGAAGUGGUAAGGGAGGGUUAUGGCGCUGGAAGGAGAAUGAACAAUGGCUUUCUGUACUUCCUGCCUUUUCUCUCCUUCACCCCUUGCCCUAGGAGCAUUUGCCACACGCCAACGCUGGCUCACAGCUCCUUUCCUGGCUUUGGUGAAAGGUGAACUCUCCGAGGAAGUGCAAAUGUCCCAAAGACAGAAAGAAGUGGAGUGCGGAGGGAGGGUCCUGCCUCUAGAACCUUAAAGGGGUGAGGAGGAGUCUAGGCUGGACCCCAGAAGGCGUGUGGUCCCUGUCGAAUGACUGAGCAACAGGUAUGGGGAGACUGGACCCCAGGAGAAAACGUGUAUCCACUCAGAUUCUCCCCCUUUCCUUCUCCUUUCCCUCCUGUCUCUUCUUUCUUUCUAAGACAGGGUGCUGUGUAGCCCAGGUUAGCCCCAAGCUCAAUAUGUAGUGGAGGAUGACUGGAUUUCUGAUCUUCCUCCCCCUACUGAGUGCUGGGGUUUCAGACAUGUGUCGCCCCCUACCCCCGGUUGAUUCAGGGCCGGGGGUAGAACUCAGGGCUUCAUGAUGCCACUUAAUCAACUAAGCUAUAUCCAAACUUUUUUUUCCUCUCUCAACGCUGGUGCCGGGGCCCAGAGCCAUGUGUAUGCUAGACAAAUGCUCUUCCACUGAGCUACAGCCCCAGUGCUUUCCCCUCUGAUCUCAAAGGGAACCUGCGUCUGGGUAACAGGUGUUUGUGGUAAUGAGCACAGGCAUCGGGUUCCUUAGCUAAGGUAGGUUUCUUAAAACUCUGGGCAUUUGUGCCUCUUCCUUUUUGAAGGGAAGCUACCUUGCACUCACCCUGAGAGAUGGGGCCUUGGAAACAGAUUUAACAGAAAAUAUGUGACCUUUCUUGUACAGUCCAAUUAGUAGUGUAAGAAACACGUUCACCACAUUUUUGCACGGUUUGACUUGGUUACCAUGAGAGCUUUGCAAGUAUCCUCAGAUUAAAAAUGAAAACCAGUCAUUCUCACCAAGACUGUUCAUUACCUAGCUAGGAAGCUUGCUGCCCUGUGAACACAGAGGCAGCCUUCACCCAUCCUUCCAGGCAUUCCAGCCCAAGGCGGGAUCCUGGGGAGAGAGCAGACCUAGGGGCAUUCACCUCCUCAGGAUGCCUGGGCUCCUAAUCACAAAUAGGAAGUUGUUGGCCUGCCCAUUCUUUCAGUGAUACCAGAAGAGGACCAAGUGCUUUUUAGAUUCAGUGAGAAUGCGGCUGGGCAGGGCUCCCAGAAACUGAAGGAAUUUAAGAAUUGGUGGGUGGUGUGUGUUCCCAAGAGAAGCCAUGAGUUGAGAUGGGAUACCCCUGUCCUAGAGUUACCAUGAGGGAGGUCCAGAUCACUCAGGUUUAGAACUGGCUUUGCGCACACUUACACCCCUCGGCAAAGACACGAAAACUGGUGUCUCUCUUUCUCUCUCUGUGUGUGUAUGUGUGUGUGUGUGAGAGAGAGAUGUUAUAAUCUUUUUGUUCUAAGAGGCAUAGUCUUGCUAUGGUGCUUAGGAUUGCCCUGAACUUCUGGGCUCAAGGGACACUCCUGCUUUAACCCCUGGAAUAGCUACGGCUCCAACUGUGAACUCCGAUGUCCAUGUUUUGUUUUAGAGAUAGGUAGGGUCUUGCUGUGUAGCUUAGGUUGACUUAAACUCUUGUCUCUCUUGCUUCAACCUAGUCAGGGCUAAGAUUACAGGCAUGGAUGCUACACCCAUCUGGACUUUAUAUUUUUAAGUCCAUUGUUCUUUCUUUAACUUAUUCAUUCUGGUUUAAUUUCUUUCCAAGACAGAGGUUAGGUUCAAAUUCAAAUGGCCUCACUAGGUACCUGUGGAGUCUUGGGCAAGUUACUUUCUGAGCAUCAUAGCCUUCAUUUCAGGAUGGAAACAACAAUACCACAGAAAAAUGACCCCUGUUCAUCCCAAAGACCAGAGAUAAUGACUAGUAAGUGCCCAGCACAGACCGACACCUAGCAAGUGCUCAUUAAAUGGGAGCUGGCUUUAUUAUUGUACUUACAAUAACAAUUCUCUUUUUAUUCCUGGAAGAGACAAGGCCCUUUCUGACUCCUUCCUCCCGUGGCGGUCAACAGUGCCUCUGAAGGCCAGUAUUCUGCAAGGCAGAGUCUGGGACAGUUCCUUAUCCAGGGCCACGUCCCUCCCGUUCUCAGCCCUCCAAACCCCACCGAACAAGCUCUUCCAGUUUUCAGCCCGCCUCCUUCCCAUGUGACCUCAUUACGGCCUCACAAAGGGCAUUCCAGGGCUCCAGUGAGCUCUGUACUUAACUCCCGGCUCUGUUCUCCGGGCAUCUAUCUUCUCGUGGGCGUGGGCUUCUGCAAGCCACUGGCACUAUAUCCCAUUUCCCAGCCCUCUCCCCCUCCCCCCCACUGCUGCAACAAUCUUUCAGUUCUCGGAUUCUACACUCAGACCUUCACCCAGGCCUUGGACAGCUUCCCAAGUGCCCCCUGAGCAGCUUCCAGCCUGCUCGGUACCUGAGGGUGUCUGCAGGCCACCUCACAGCAAAGGCCCAGCCAGGCCCAGAUAGUGAAGAGAUACAGAAGAGAUAAAUGGAAGCAGACUCCUCUCCCUUAUCAAGCUGCUGCUGCAAAGACGUUCUGCUGGUGCUGGUCGGGAGACUCAGAGAAACGCACAGGCACACUGAAUGGGCCAGAAAAGUACUUAGAGAAUCAGGGAGGGGAGCCAAAUUCCUAGGUUGGAGAGUUCACAGGGCAACUGGAUCAAUACAGCACUUUUGAUCUGCACAGUUAUCAAGGUACAAAGCACCACUACCCUUUGUCCUCUUUCUUUCUCACUCCGGUAAUGGAACUCUUUACCCUAAAUUAAGAUUAUAUUUAGCUUUGAUGUUGCUUUUAGAUUUGCAAAGUGCUUUAUAAGCCUUCAUUAGCGAUUUUAUUCUCAUCUCAUUAGCAUCACCCCCUUCACAAAGCAGGUAACCCUAGAACCAACACAAGGGGUGCUCAGCCUCUGACCUGAACCCUGCCCAGAGACUCAUAGGCUCAAGCUGAUGGAGACUUGCUAGACCACGGGAGGGAGUGUGGAGCAAAAGAGCCAAAAUCUUCACAAGAGUUUUCUUGGAUGGAGAGAGAGACCCAAAGGCCAAUUACUCUCCAAUGGUUUGAUCAAAGCUAGCACACUGUUAUGCUAAUUUGUUGGUAAUAAAACCUAGAGUUCUCACUAGUUCAAAUUAAAAGGCAUGGCAACUAAACAUGUCUUUAAUAGGAAAACAGUUCUCUGGAUUGACUGACUGCCUCCAUAAACAGGCUGAGAACAGAGAAAAAAGAAAGCAUUUGACCGUGAUCAACACUAACACUGCUGAGGAAGGCCCCUCAGUGCCUCUGCCCCUGAACACCCUCUCUAUUUUCCUCACUUACUGUCUGUGACGCACGACUGAACUAGCUCUCUUCUAUCUGCCCUCCACUUGUCGUGAGUUCCUCUUUCUCCUCCUCCUUUGCCUCUCUUCUAAUACAUACACAGUUCCCAAAACAAUAUUCUCUCGUCUCUAUGCUCUCCCUUCUGGAGUUCUUAUACACGCUAGUGUUUUCAGAUGAGACUUAAAUCAGGUCUCUAAGUCAAAUUGGCCUGUGCGUCUAUAGGCCCAUUAGGCGUUAUUUUGUUGCUGUCUUAAUGGCACCCACAAACUCAAAUACAUAGAACCGAAAUAUCACCUUCUGCCAGCAUGGAGCCCUAAACUAAUAACCAUUUGUUCUGUUUUUUGAGAGAGGGUGUCUCUGCAUAGCCCUGUGUCCCCAGGA